rnacentral:rRNA from 1 species
CAUUAUUGAAUAAAAACUUGAGCAGGCUGUCUGCUGGCCCCUUGGGGUAUGUGCACGCUUGUUCUUUGUUAUUUCUCCAACUUGUGCACAUUUUGUAGACCCUGGAGCCUUGUGGAUUUUAAUAUUCCGAGUCGGGACUGCUGUGCUUCCUCUUUGUGAAGUCGGCUUUGCCUUGCAUCUCCAGGUCUAUGUCAUUUAUUUUCACAACCAUGUUUAGAAUGUUGGGAUCAGGUCUUUUUGUACCUAUAGAAAUGAAAUAUACAACUUUCAGCAACGGAUCUCUUGGCUCUCGCAUCGAUGAAGAACGCAGCGAAAUGCGAUAAGUAAUGUGAAUUGCAGAAUUCAGUGAAUCAUCGAAUCUUUGAACGCAUCUUGCGCUCCUUGGUAUUCCGAGGAGCAUGCCUGUUUGAGUGUCAUUCAACUUCUCAACCACAUUCGUUCAUUUGAUUGUGGCUUGGAUGAUGGGGGUUUUUGUUCGCAGGCUUCUUAAUUAAUCUGAGAGGUCGGCUCCCCUGAAAUGUAUCAGUGGUAUCUGAGGCUAUUGCUAUAGGUGUGAUAAUUAUCUAUGCCC